AGGACGAACGCUGGCGGCGUGCUUAACACAUGCAAGUCGAACGGAAAGGCCCGCUUGCGGGUACUCGAGUGGCGAACGGGUGAGUAACACGUGGGCAACCUGCCCUCAGCUCUGGGAUAACUCCGGGAAACCGGUGCUAAUACUGGAUAUCGACUUCUGCCUCGCAUGGGGUGUUGUUGAAAGUUUUUCGGCUGGGGAUGGGCCCGCGGCCUAUCAGCUUGUUGGUGGGGUGAUGGCCUACCAAGGCGACGACGGGUAGCCGGCCUGAGAGGGCGACCGGCCACACUGGGACUGAGACACGGCCCAGACUCCUACGGGAGGCAGCAGUGGGGAAUAUUGCGCAAUGGGCGGAAGCCUGACGCAGCGACGCCGCGUGAGGGAUGACUGCCUUCGGGUUGUAAACCUCUUUCAGCAGGGACGAAGCGAAAGUGACGGUACCUGCAGAAGAGCACCGGCCAACUACGCGCCAGCAGCCGCGGUAA
rnacentral:rRNA from 1 species